rnacentral:rRNA from 1 species
UGCCUAACAGCUAGCCCACCCAAACAAUUUCAACAAACCCCUGUUAAUAACCCCUAAGUACCCCAGUAUUUAUUUUAAACAAACCAUUUUUCCCCCUUAGUAUAGGCGAUAGAAAAGGGCCCACGGCGCAAUAGAGAAAGUACCGCAAGGGAACGCUGAAAGAGAAGUGAAACAACCCAGUAAAGCCUAAAAAAGCAGAGAUCUAAACUCGUACCUUUUGCAUCAUGAUUUAGCAAGUGUAACCCAAGCAAAGCGUACUUUAGUUUGACGUCCCGAAACUAGGUGAGCUACUCCAAGACAGCCUAUCAAUAGGGCGUACCCGUCUCUGUGGCAAAAGAGUGGGGAGAGCUUUGAGUAGAGGUGACAAACCUACCGAACCUAGUUAUAGCUGGUUGUCCAAGAAAUGAAUAGAAGUUCAGCCUUUCAGCUUCUCUUUUCACCUUAGUCUCACCCCUAUUGAUGCAUUAAAGAAACCGAAAGAGUUAGUCAAAGGGGGUACAGCCCCUUUGAAUCAAGACACAACUUUACCAGGAGGGUAAAGAUCAUAAUAAUUAAAGCUAAAUGUUCUGGUGGGCCUAAAAGCAGCCAUCCCCUUAGAAAGCGUUAAAGCUCAGACAUGCGACCAUACUUCUUAUCCUGAUCACUUAAUCUUACCCCCCUAACCGUACUGGACCAUCCCAUGCCAACAUGGGAGUGACUAUGCUGAAAUGAGUAAUAAGAGAGCUACCGGCUCUCUCCCUGCACACGUGUAUAUCGGAACGGACAACCCACCGAACCUUAACGGCCCCAAAUAAAGAGGGCAGUGGAUGUUAGACCAAAAAACUAGAAAAAUAUCCAAAAACCAACCGUUAAACCCACACAGGUGUGCCCCCAGGGAAAGACUAAA